AAAAAAAAAAACCAAAGGCUCUAGAUUUUUAGAUUACUGUGAUUUUGACAGCUAAAAUCCGAUUACCUAGCAAGUUGGAAUCAAGUACCUGCAACCUAGACACAAAUCCUAUCAGACUUUCCCAACAUCCAUGGGAAAUAAAUGAGCUAUAAAGAAAUAAAGAGACGAGGAAUGACAUUAGAAUAGAAAAGUAGGGCCAAACUGAAACGAAAGGUAGGGAGACCAAACACACAGUUUUUUCUUUUUUUAUAUCCUUGGGAGAUCCCUUGAUCAAGAAUAGCGUUUUUUUGGAAGAGGCUCCAUCACACAAGAAUUAUCUACACAAGCUAUAUCCACGGUUGCAACUAGAACUCGACCACCCACUGUCUUGACUCAAAAGUCUUUUACCACUUGUACUGGCCCUUGUGGAUUACCAAAUACACAUUUUUCUACUGAAUAAUUGCUCCUAUUUGCUUAAAAUUGAUUAGA